UGGGGAAUAUUGCACAAUGGGCGCAAGCCUGAUGCAGCCAUGCCGCGUGUAUGAAGAAGGCCUUCGGGUUGUAAAGUACUUUCAGCGGGGAGGAAGGUGUUGAGGUUAAUAACCUCAGCAAUUGACGUUACCCGCAGAAGAAGCACCGGCUAACUCCGUGCCAGCAGCCGCGGUAAUACGGAGGGUGCAAGCGUUAAUCGGAAUUACUGGGCGUAAAGCGCACGCAGGCGGUCUGUCAAGUCGGAUGUGAAAUCCCCGGGCUCAACCUGGGAACUGCAUUCGAAACUGGCAGGCUAGAGUCUUGUAGAGGGGGGUAGAAUUCCAGGUGUAGCGGUGAAAUGCGUAGAGAUCUGGAGGAAUACCGGUGGCGAAGGCGGCCCCCUGGACAAAGACUGACGCGCAGGUGCGAAAGCGUGGGGAGCAAACA
rnacentral:rRNA from 1 species